rnacentral:lncRNA from 1 species
GUUCGGGCCUCAGAGAGAAGAUGAAUUGUAAGCAAAAUUCAAAAAUCACGAUUCUGGGGAAAAAGACCCCCAAAUCCAGAGCCCUGUAGUACCAGCCCUGCUAGUUCAACUGAAGGCUGCAGCAUGCCCUGAUCUAAACGGGAAAACACAACAAGGAAAAUAUCAGAAGCACAAGCCAGAGCUGUUGUCCUCCUUACUCAUCCACUCAUCCAUCAAGAUAAGUCAGCUCUCAUCCAACAAGCAACUUAGCCGCUGACACACUGCCAGCUGGUCCCAUCAAGUCAGGUGGCAUGGGUCACCCAACAAGCUGCCUGUUGGAAUAGCUGGCUGUUACAUAGCCUGUUAAGAACCAGGCGAACAAGACCACCAAAAUGUGGCAGCUGCUGUCCAGACAAGACACCUUCAGGCAGAGCUGGGUGCAGCCCGGUGACUCGUGCAGACAACAUCUGGGUUUUAGUUGGAAGACGGCCUCUGCAUUGGAUGAAGCUCUUCCCACAGAAUGGCCUCUUCUCUGGUCUGGAAUCUGCUAGGACUCCAUCUUCCCACACUGGGUCCAUGCAUGGUGUCCAGAAGAUCAAAUCCUAUAUGUUGGAGUGUAUGCGUUCUGGAUAAGUUACGGAAAAGGCACAAGGAGGCAGAGGGACCCGAGGUCCCAGGACCUCAGACACAAGAACUGAUUUCUUAGCAGUGUAGCUGGUCUGUUUCAACAUAGGUAUCAGUUUUGGUGUUCUGUUUUCUCACAGCACCCCCACCAGUAAUGAAAGACUGGGCUAUUGUAGGGAACUCACACUGUGAUUGUGGAA